GCCCCUGUAACUCAGUGGAUAGAGUGACUGCCUUCUAAGCAGUGAGUCGGGGGUUCGAUCCCCUCCAGGGGCG
rnacentral:tRNA from 1 species